GCUAGCAUGGCACAGUGGUUUGAGUAUUGGACUGCAGCUCUGGAGGCCAGGGUUUGAUUCCCAACUCAACCA